UACGUAGGGGGGCAAGCGUUGUCCGGAAUCAUUGGGCGUAAAGAGCGUGUAGGCGGUCCGGUAAGUCGGCUGUGAAAGUCCAGGGCUCAACCCUGGGAUGCCGGUCGAUACUGCCGGACUAGAGUUCGGAAGAGGCGAGUGGAAUUCCCCGGUGUAGCGGUGAAAUGCGCAGAUAUCGGGGAGGAACACCUAUGGCGAAGGCAGCUCGCUGGGGACGUUACUGACGCUGAGACGCGAAAAGCGUGGGGGAGCAAACAGG
rnacentral:rRNA from 1 species